rnacentral:rRNA from 1 species
AGGGGCAGCAUGAUUUGUAGCAAUACAGAUUGAUGGCGACCGGCGCACGGGUGAGUAACGCGUAUGCAACCUGCCCUUCACAGGGGGAUAACCGGGAGAAAUUCCGACUAAUACCGCAUACGUCCUCCGGGGGCAUCCCCGGGGGAUGAAAGAGUUAUCGGUGAAGGAUGGGCAUGCGUGAUAUUAGGUAGUUGGCGGGGCAACGGCCCACCAAGCCUACGAUAUCUAGGGGUUCUGAGAGGAAGGUCCCCACAUUGGUACUGAGACACGGACCAAACUCC